rnacentral:lncRNA from 1 species
AUACUAUCCUAAGGUGCACCAAUUCGGCUGCUAAUAGUGUUUUGGCGUUCACAUUCCCACAACUCAAAGUUAUUUAGGAUUCUUUUCGGUAAGUCUGGUAAACUCAUAAUAAGAAUAUAUUUCAAUGGUUCAUGCUAGUAUCGAUAUGAAGGUGGCGCAAACAUCCGCCAAGUCAAUCUAUCAUGAAUUCCUCACUAACCGAGCGAGAAACCAUGUCGCGGAGGUUAAAAGAAUACUCAAGAAUUUGAGGGUCAAAACAAGUUCAUGAAAUCUAGAGUACAAGAUAUCUGAACUAAAUGUACAAUUUUCAUGUCUAAGUGGUCUUCCUGGAAAGUUUGUCCCUAUCCAAAAUGAUAUGGGAAAUAGGCCGAUGACCCUAAAUCAACCCAAUUACCUUUAAUACCAGGAGGUAAAACUAGGGGUAUAAAUAUAACAGGGGCAGACUAGAAUAUCAAAGAAUCAAACAACCAAUGAAUUAUGCCAAAAGACUAAACAACUCCAUUGUUAUCUUAGGCCAAAAGUAACGGGGUCAAAUUUAAGAAUGAGCUAACAAGGUUCUUGAUGAUCAAUAGUAACAUCAUAAAAGUAUUAACUACUAGGGACCAAAAGUAAUUUCCCAAAAUGUUCUUCCCCCGAGUGCUACCACAUUAGCACUACCUUACCACAUGCGACACUUCUAGAGUCUUAACAAAAGUAGACUUCGCAAGAAUUAUAUUAAGUGAUAUUCAAACAAUACUACCAAGAAAUCAAAACUAGCUGAGAUUUCCAAUUUUAAAAGAAUCAAUUCUAACAGCGAAAGAAUGAUGAUGGAAUUGGUCGGUAAAAUCUUCGGUGAUACACGGUUAUCAAUACAUUAACUUAGGCCAUCAACUUGCCUCAAAUCUACACCUUUCCUCCACAAAUAAAAUUUUCGUUUUAAUUCUAAGGGCAUUGUCAAAAUGAUUUUCUAAAACGUCGUCAAGAACACAAAACUUCCCAAAACUGAACAAAAGCUAACAUAUUUUUCCGUAUUCGACGAGGUGGCAAGAUUCGAACAUUAAACACAAAACCAAGAAUGCUCCCAUCAUGCAUGUGAUGAACACAAUACUGCCAAACUUAUGCUCUGAUACCAAACUGACACACCCCAACCCGAAAUGUCCACUAGGACUCCUAAUCAAGCUAUGUUGGCCGACACAUGGAAUGUGACGAAGCCAUAAAGUGUGAUGGUGUGGAAAAUUGUGAAUAAAUUUAAACCUAAGAGUGCCUAAAUACUAGAGUGCACUGGUGAGCGGGAAUGAACCCACUUCACACGUAAUGUUAGCGCAUAAGCAAGUACAGAAAAAUGAUAUAAGA